rnacentral:lncRNA from 1 species
CUCCUCCAAAACGUACCGUGCGAUGACAUCUGUGUCAUUAAUAACUGCAAAGCAGGAGCAGGAGCUGCUGCUGCACCAGCGCCGCAGUGACUGGGAGCGCUCAGCCUGGCGUUAUCUGCUGCUGAGCAGGUGGAGCAGCCGCGGUGUGGGGCUCACUGCUGGGCCGUGCCUGGCUUUUAUUUUUAACACCCUGCUCCCAGGCGGUGACAAGGCUGCGCUAAGUGAGCAGCCCAAGUGUCGUCUUUGCUCAGUGAUUCAUACAAGCUGUGACCUGCAGCCUGGAGCAGCACAUUGCUGGGGGCUGCACAGGAGCCAGCAGCAGGUUAUGCGCCAUCUCCUGCUGCAGAAGCCCGUUCUCUUGCAAGCUUCGGGGUGGAAAAAAUUCCGUCUCCGCUUGGACUCUAUUUGUUGCCGCAGUGUGAGGCUGAUUAGGGGUGACACAGCUCACAUGAAGCCAGGUAAUGCCUCAUGCGGCAGCAAGUGACCCAGAAACAUCCUGGAAAAGUGCAGCGAAGGAAAUCGCCGCUCGCUGGAAGUCAGGAUGUGCACCUCGCCGAGCACGGCGCAUCGCAGACGAGAGCCAACAGCGUGCUUGUUGUGUCCCAGGCUGAUGUCUGGAGGUG